rnacentral:rRNA from 1 species
AACGAACGCUGGCGGCAGGCUUAACACAUGCAAGUCGAGCGCCCCGCAAGGGGAGCGGCAGACGGGUGAGUAACGCGUGGGAAUCUACCCAUCUCUACGGAAUAACGCAUGGAAACGUGUGCUAAUACCGUAUACGUCCUUCGGGAGAAAGAUUUAUCGGAGAUGGAUGAGCCCGCGUUGGAUUAGCUAGUUGGUGGGGUAAAGGCCUACCAAGGCGACGAUCCAUAGCUGGUUUGAGAGGAUGAUCAGCCACACUGGGACUGAGACACGGCCCAGACUCCUACGGGAGGCAGCAGUGGGGAAUAUUGGACAAUGGGCGCAAGCCUGAUCUAGCCAUGCCGCGUGAGUGAUGAAGGCCCUAGGGUUGUAAAGCUCUUUCACCGGUGAAGAUAAUGACGGUAACCGGAGAAGAAGCCCCGGCUAACUUCGUGCCAGCAGCCGCCGUAACAC